rnacentral:rRNA from 1 species
GGAAUCUUGGACAAUGGGCGCAAGCCUGAUCCAGCCAUGCCGCGUGAGUGAAGAAGGCCUUAGGGUUGUAAAACUCUUUCGCCGGAGAAGAUAAUGACGGUAUCCGGAGAAGAAGACCCGGCUAACUUCGUGCCAGCAGCCGCGGUAAUACGAAGGGGGCUAGCGUUGUUCGGAAUUACUGGGCGUAAAGCGCACGUAGGCGGAUUUGUAAGUAGGGGGUGAAAUCCCCAGGCUCAACCUGGGAACUGCCUUCUAGACUGCAAGUCUGGAGAUCAGGAGAGGCGAGUGGAAUUCCGAGUGUAGAGGUGAAAUUCGUAGAUAUUCGGAAGAACACCAGUGGCGAAGGCGGCUCACUGGACGACUGUUGACGCUGAGGUGCGAAAGCGUGGGGAGCAAA